CUGUUAGUAAAUAUUUAAUAGAAAAUGUUCUCAAAAAGCUAUUUAACCUCAUUGCCUGCUCAUUCUAGCAUACCCACAGGGUCCAAACAUAUUUGUAAAAAGGUGCAAAGCAUGGGUCCCCAGAAUAUAGGAGAAAUUUACCAUAGCCCAUGGUUUGGGGAAGCAAGAGCAGAUGAUGUGGCAGUUAAGAUACUUUUCACAACAAUGGAAACUUGAUAGCCACAUCCUUCCUGAAGGGAAGCAGACAGCUGCUCAGGGCAAAAGGACUACAUGACUUUCAAAUCAUACAGUGACUCAGGGUGUAGCUGGGGGAGUUUAUACAGUGCCUGUGUGAGAGGCAGGGACCUGGUAUCUCCUUGUGUCAUGGGGAACUCAUGCCCUGACCAAAGAUGGCAGCCAAAAGAAGGUAAAAGAUAUAGAAGCUCAGAAAAAAGUAGCACAUUGUAGGAGGGCCCAGAUGUGAGGUCCUGUAGGAAGUCCCAGGUCAAACAUUUAAAAUAAGGGUGGGCUGAAAGAAAGGGAAUUCUGCCAUGAGUGCCAAAAGAGUAGAGAAACAACCAUGGGGGCUAAAAGGGGAUUUGGUCCUGAGGCCUGAGAGAAGCAGCGAGCAGUUACAAAGUUUAUAGUGAAGUGGUCCACAAUGACAGCUAGUGUGUAAGGUAGAAGCCAUGCCAGCUGGGAGUCAGGAUUCCACCAUGUGGCCUCAUGUAGUGAGGAAGGCAGCCAUAUGGGCUGAGGAGAGGGUGUAACCAGAGAGCUGAUGGAGCUGCGCAGGGACCUGCCUAACCAAGCACAGAUUCAUGGGUGGUGCAUUAGUACCUAACCAUGACCAGAAAUGCAUACUUCUGCUUCUCUGAGGGAUGUACAGAGAAGCCACUCCCUUGGGACAUGUGCCUACCUGGCCUUUACCAUGAUCCAGUGUGACAAGGCACAUGUUCCCUAGACAAUGUACCCCUGAUCCUAAAGGAGAGAGCUGUUGGGAGAGGAGGUGACUCUGAAACCCAUGAGUGUACCUUCCAGAGGGGACGGAAAACUGUUUGCACAGCUGGCUUAAGAACAGAUAAGGAGAUGGGGAACUUUGGGGCAUGUUUUUGGUUUAUAGCCUGUUGGGGACAAAGGGAAGUGCUGGGUUAUGUGGGAGAAGAGGGCUCUGAACAGAAGUGUUCUCAGACCCUUUGCCCCGAGGUUGGAAUCCUGUAAAUAAAAACCGGCUUCCUUCAACACUAAUUUUUGGGUCAUGGGUCAAGGUGCCACAUGGAUGGACCCCAGCUUGCUUGAUUGCAUAUUGAUCUUGUUGCUUCUUUUUGUUAUCAAAGACCAUUUUGCUGAUAAUUAUUAUAUAUCUAAUGGGUCAAAUCACCCUAAAUGUUUUCUAUUUCAGAAUAUUAUCUAAGUAUUGUAAUUUCACAUCACAAAUACAUUCUCUAAACUCACAAGAUUGGUAUGAUUACUUUAAAAUGAAGCAUGUGAACAAACAGUAGCCAAAGACACAGCAUCUAAACUUAAGCAGAGCCUUGCAAAAAUACAGCUGCCAUUGACUCCCCUUAGAGGGUGGGUGACACAGCACAGGAGGUGUGAAUUCAGUUGCCAUCAGUCUCCCUCUUUUGGAGCUUCCAGCCAGGAAGGAUACUGCACAUGAUCAUCACAUGAAAAGCCCUAAUGGAACCUUCUGUACUUUCCUACUGAAGCCCUAAAACUAGCCCCUUUUGUUGGUUUGGUACAAAAGAUUGUACUCCCAGCUGGUCAGGGAAUUGCUCCCUGUGGAGUGUUUCUGCAUGUGAAAUAAACUUUUCUUUUGUUAAUCUGGUAGUUGUUAACCUAAUGCAGAGGUCCCCCACCAAAAGAGCUAGAAUUGGUGGGAUAAAAGUUUUCCUCCCAACAGAACCUUAGGAAAGGAAAAGGUCAGAAUGAGAUUUUAAACUAAAUGUUUAGAAGCAAAGAAAUAACAAAUGCUUUUGAGGUCAAAGGUGAAAGAUGGGGUAGGAGGUCACAGGAUUGCAGUCAUGCAUGUCACACUCCACUGACAUUGGUGGGCAAGCAGGGGCACGGUGUUGACUUGGCCAGACCCACUUAAAGCAAAACAGAUAAACAAAGCAAUGACAAAGCAAAGCCAUGCAAACUAGCUACCUAUUCUUUUGCUCAAAAGAAAUUAUCUUUUUAAAAAUUUAGUUUGUUUUGCUUGAAGCAUUAAAAUGUACCUUCUUUUUAAAUCAUCUGUCU